UUCCCAUUCUCAGACUCCCAAGUAGCUAGGAUUACAGAAAUGAACACAGAAACAGAGCAACAGCUUCUUCAUCAUGCCAGAAAUGGCAAUGUUGAAGAGGUAAGACAACUAUUAGAAACCAUGGAGAAGAAUGAAGUGAUUGCUGUUAUUAAUUGCAAAGGAAGAAGUAAGUCUAACUUGGGCUGGACACCUCUUCAUCUGGCAUGCUAUUUUGGACAUAAACAAGUUGUCCAUGAUCUGUUGAAGG